rnacentral:rRNA from 1 species
UACGAAGGGGGCUAGCGUUGUUCGGAAUUACUGGGCGUAAAGCGUGCGCAGGCGGCUUCUCAAGUCAGGGGUGAAAGCCCAGAGCUCAACUCUGGAAUUGCCUUUGAGACUGAGUGGCUUGAGUACGAGAGAGGUGAGUGGAAUUCCCAGUGUAGAGGUGAAAUUCGUAGAUAUUCGGAAGAACGCCAGUGGCGAAGGCGGCUUGCCAGAACGCGCUCGACGGUGAGGGAUGAAAGCUGGGGGAGCAAACCGG